UUCACCUGCCGCUCUGGGCUAUUAUUGCUUGAGAUACCGACUAUAGUAAGAACCCUGAUGGAGCGAUCCUAAAUGGUCAACGUCGCUGGUAAAACCAUAUAAAGUGAUUCAAUGCGAACAUAAAGAAAUGUUAAUGAUCGUCAAAGACCUUUGUGUUGGAUGGCUUUCCUUCCAGUUACUCUCUCUUUCUCGCUCUCUGCUGUCCUUUUUAUUUCUUCAUUUCUUUCUUUGAGCCAUGAACGAAGGAACAUGUGCAGAUUAUGCUUUCUUUCACAAAAACCAUUGGAGGAAAAUAAUACCUUGGUAUUGACUAAAAGAAUAAAAUCCCAACCCUAAAAUACAUCCCUGUGGCUGAAAGCCCUCAAAAUAUCUUCUGUAAGCAUGCUACUUUAAACUGCUAUAAUGUUGACAGUGUGCUGUGCCUGCUGUGGGGAUGCCUGUGUAUCUCAGUGGCUGUGCUGUGAAAUGUGGCACUCAGACAUAGUUUCUGACCUCUAUAUAGCAGUGUGAAAGGACCUCAACAGCUGUAAACAACACUGCAAUCAGUGUCCCAUCUGCUCCCAUGUCCCACUUGUGUGGAUGCCUUUUUGCCAUUUCUUUCACCCUCUGCCAAGUGGCUGCCUCAGGACAUCUAACCCAGAGAAAAGAGCUCAUUUACCCAAGAAGGAAAGAAGCAAACUAGAUUUCUGAGCGGCUUUGCGGACAGGGAAACUUGGUGGCGGCAAAAUUUCACCAGGUUAAGCCAACUGUACUAUGCAAAUUAAGCCAUUAAAAAAAUACAAGAGUUAAUCAAAAUGCACCAAACAUAAUUUUUAGGGGGAUAAAAAAAACAGAGUGUCGUUUGAAAUUAUUUGCUCAACCAGCUUACAAGCUUUGAAAGCAGCCCUUAAGUGUUGAUUUAACCUCCAUUCACCCCUGUUCAGGAUAAUGAUGCUUCAAAGGGAUUACAUGAAGAGAGUGCUUGAGCUUGACCCACUCCAAAGGUAAGUGGUGUGACUCCCAUUUCGUAUGAAGCCUACUCAGUGGAUCUGUAUAUGCACCCUGACACCUAUAAUUUCCUUGUAAGGCCAGAUGUUCGGCGAAUCUGGGGGACGCUGAAACAAGUAGAGGUAGCUGGUUAGCCGCGUGGACUUGGGUGACUUAAUGUUUGGAGCAAAACAAAGUACUUUCCCCGGUUCAUCCAAUGUGAAAGGUUCGUUUGAAUCAUCUCCCCAGCUUAGUUUUUGUUUAGAAACAUUCCUUAGAAAAUCUUCAGCAUCUUCUGGUUCAUAGUAAUGUCAGGGGUGUAAAGAUUGUCAAAAUAAAUAAGUAAAGAAUUCCUUUGCAUUACCAGUAUCAGUACCCUUUUUUAAGUUUGGGGAAUUUGUUGGGUUCACGCUUAGUUUUUAGAUAUCUAAAUAUCUUUCAGGAUUAAGACGGCUGGGAUAGGAGACAGAUGAUCUCUUUAUUUUCUUGUUUUAGAGGAAGUUGUAAUUAUUCUUUUGCUCAAAGCAACUUUCACAAGGGUGCUGUUGGUUUCUAGUGAUGAUGUGAGCGUUUAGCAGACUUUACAGACUUCAACAGAUUUGCAAGCUAUGCAGUUAUUUUCAUUAUUUUAGGCCUGAGAUAUCACUUAUACAGUAUGUUCUAAGUUGUAAAAAAGCCACCACUAGCUGGGGUUUUAGCUCUGAUAAAUAGCUUUUUUUGUUCCAUCAUGCUAUAAUGCUCCACUAUCUGGAUAUAAUUCAGUACAGAUGACAGAUGGUGGCUCAGCACAGUUUGGCAGUGUUUUGAUCUAGAUAAUGGAGAUAGGCUGCGUCAGGUUAGACUAGCAUACAACAACGAUAUCAGAAAAUAAUUAACCAGCAUGUGGCCAUUAACCUGCAGAAGGAAGUAAGGAUCGACCAAUAAUCGGCACGACUGAUUAUAUCGGCCGAUACUCAGCAUUUUACAAUAAUCGCCAUCAGACGUUUUUUUCACUGAUAGCCAAUAAAAUAGGUUUAUUUUAAAACGCACUCAUUCGGCUCUUAAACAGCCGCCUCGCUCUGCCUGAUGUUACCACUCUUGGCUGUGUAGCAGUGUCCUGUCAAUAGUCCCCACUGAUUGGCUACACAGACAGCCAAUCAACUCUCAAGCUUCUAGGUUCAGCUCCACAGCAAGGGAGAGAGAGAGAGAGGAGCAUGCAUCUUAUGAUACAACGGUUGAAGGUCUUGUUAUCACAGAUUUUCACAGUGUACAAAAUAAACAAACAGUGUACUGAGUUCAGACUAAUUCCAUGUGUCUUACAAUUAUCAGUUUCCGUGAUGAAUAAUUGGUAUCAGUAUCGGCCCUAAAAGAAAAAAAAAACAUAUUGGUCGAUCCUUAGAAGAAAGGAUGAGAGGUUUGUGGUGCUAGCUCUGCUAAUGGUAGCCACACUUGCCAACUAAUUGACAUUUUGUUUACUUGCAGACUGUAAUCCCUUGAUUAGCUUUGUUGAAUCAACUUUGAUCAAUCUGGACUACGUACUGGAUUUUAUCUUAAAACUAGAAAAAAGUUGGAAUUAAAUUUCUGUCAUGAGGACCAGAAUACUAGUGACUAGAAUAUCCCUAGUUUCUGGAUAACCUAUAUCUGUUCAGACAAAAUGAUGAAAUAAGAAACUAGGUGUUAAUUGGCCAUCUUGCUUUUGAUUGAUAAAUUUAAAGUAUCAGAUGUAUUACACAUCAGACAGAUAGGUUGAAUAGAUGCAUAACUAGAUUUUAUCCACGGCUUUUAAGUGAAAUCAUUCUGAUUGAAGUACUGACUAAACUCUUCGGAUAGGUAAUUAAUCAAAUGAAAUAAACAUUGUCAAACCCAUUCUUGGUUAAACAGCUGAGGUGAUGCAGUCAUAACACACUGUGUGGUUUCUGUAGUUAAUAUUCAUUAUCAUGAAGAUGAUCAAGAAUACAUGCUGCCCUUGUCUGCUCCAACCAGAGGGGUCACUGUGCCUCAAUCAGUCCAGGUGUCUCUGUGCUUUAAAUAAAUGCCUUUUGUAUCUAUAAUGAAAGUGUAACAUCUUCACAAGGGUGGGCCGAGGCAAACUUUGUAUUCUGUAUGCAUAAUCCAUGUAUAAAUAUGCCUCACACAAGAGCCCUGUGUGUUAUGUGAUUUGAGUGGGGGUCAGAGCCACUUGUAUUCCUGUGGGUGGGAUUGUGGAAUUGCAGGAGAUUUGAUUGGAGCACUAUCCCUACAUGAGGGCCCUCCAGAACUCCUAUCUGUUGUUCCCCCUACUCAUUUACUUUAUCAGUGCACUGCUGUAAUAUACAUAAUUCAGACAACCAGGGAAUGUCUUUGGGCUCCGAACCACCUGCUGGCUUUUAUUAGCUAAUUAAUGGUGAUUUAUCAGAGCUGCUAAUUUGAGUGGGGCCGCUUGCCUUCAGGAGUCUCAGAGCACCGCAUGAAUUCUGAUGGUAAUUAUGCUUAUUUGAUGGGCAGUUUGCUAAAACAAAAAGUUCUGUCUUUUCUGCCCCACAGGGAUGGAAUUUCUGUUCUUACCAAAGACGACCUUGUGUGAUUUUUUUUUCCCCUGUCUCAUUAAGGUCUCUCACGCAGUUCAUUUUAAUACUUAAAUUCAAAACAGCUUUUUUACCUUUUUACCUGUAGAUGUGUGUCCUUGGGAAGGUCUUUUAUGAUGUCCUCAUGUUUCAAGUAUAUUUACUGUUCAAGGACCAGAUAUUUACCUAUGGUUUGAGACUUGGUAUUUGGGGAGCCUUCGAGGAGAAUACUAAUAUUAAUACCCCAAAUUUCCUUCUGCCUAUGUGAUUUAAAUAUACAAAUAUAUUUAUGGUACAAGACCAGUUUUUACAUUUACACAUUUCUGCCUGUUAUAAAUAAGAAUCUCUGAAUGUUAAUAGUAUAAGAACUGUCUUAAGGGGUUUAGACUCGUAAAAAAUAAGAGGCUUUGCUUAUUAAAAUGUAGCAAAUGUGGACUUUGCGAGGGGUUUUCUGAAGCUGACACUUCUAUCUCUUCUUGUAGGUAACAGGUGAGUGACAGUGAGCAAAGAAUAACUGAGAAGGUAAGGAAACAUUAACAAAGAUUCUGUUGGUCUGGUAAUGGAGCGGUCAAGCUGGUAAUUGUCAAACCCAUGUGAUCCGCCUUUGCAUGCACAGGAGACAAACAAGCGUUUUCUUUUACUUUUUCCUCUAUUUUCUCCUGAGUUUUGUUUUCAGAGUCAUCAUAAAUGACUGGAGAGGACGCUUUCGAGGUAAGUUAUUUCAUCCAUCUAUCAACAGUUGCAUAAACUCUUACUACCGUGCAGUAUGGAAUAUACUUAACCCGGUGUGGGUCACAUCUAAGAUCUUCUGGGUUUUGGUUUUGUACAUUUUUAUGAUGCCAUCUAAACAGACUUAGUUGCACAGUUUGUGCUUUAAAGUACAGUGUGUACAAACAGAAAUAUUAAGCAAUAACCAGUGAUCAGAUUUUGUGCUCAUGCUGGACUUUCACCAGUUCUGUGUUUUGUCCAUCGCCACUCUAAUAUAGCUCUGUGCCCCCUCAUCCAUCUACAAGUAACGGCUGUGUUUUCACAGUGCAGCACCGCUGGAUAGCUCAAGUCACUAGACCACAGAUUUUCUAACAUUACAUACAUUAUUAAUGGUUUUCUCCCUUCACAACGAGGUAUGAAAACCUCUGACCUGUUGACUCCAGGCCUGAAUCUACUCACUGUGAUGGUUUGAAGUAUGUGAGUUAAAUUUACAUGACUAAAGUACAACUGUAAAAAUUGUGUAAAAACGCAGAUUUCAGAGCUCGCACAAACAGAAAACAUGUCGGUUCACCUGUACACUAUACCUACAUCUAAAAAUUAUAAAAAUAAAACAAAUAUAAAAAUCUUUUUUUAUAUGACUGUACCUGUAACAGCUACAGCCAUAUUUAUCACAAUGUAAUUAAGCACAGUAGGGUCUAGGGCUUCCAUUACUCUGUAACUUCUCCAUAAGCUUCUGUCAACUGAGGGCUUCCAUAAGUCUACUGCAUCCUGCUAGCUUGUUGCAUGUAGGACUGCAUUCUCCAAUGGUCAAUAAAACGGGCAGUACUUGUCACAUGGAAAGUCCCUACAUGGCAGGUAAGUGAAUCUCUCCUUGUAGAUUUGAGUCUCAUUCUCCACCUUUCCACUAAUCUCGGCAUAACCAGCUAAAAGGUUUUUUUUUUUUUUUUUCUGGUUUUAAAAGUGAUUAGCCCAUCUCUUUGCCUCUUUUUACUGCUGUCUAACAUCUCAUUGUGUUCUAUGUGGCUGUCAACUUCUUUAUUCUCAUCCAUGCCAUUACAGCCACAGCAUGAAAUGGUGAAGUAGAGACAUAGUGGUUAAAAAGGCAGGGAAAUCCAGCUAAAAAAAACCCAGAUAUUUUGCCCUGGUCUAUCAAUAAUUGCAUGAUUCAAGUGAAGUAUGAUGGGUUCAUCCUCUGGCAACCAGAAAAAUGUUUGUAAAACUUAAUGGCAUUCAAUCAAAUGGCUGAAACAACUGUAGUGUUGUUCCAGUGCAAAACAAUGGUCAAACCAGAGAUCCAUAGAGUUGCUGAAAAGCACAUCAAAUACAGAAAUUGGUUGGAUCAAGAGUUGGGUUUUUACUUGGCUUAUUAUUCAAUCAAAAAAAUACACACUGACUUUUCUAAUGUAAGUCUGUCAUAAGCUAAUUUUUGGAAAGCUUCAUUUCACUUUCUAUAGUUCAAAACAUUUGACAAGCCCUGUCACAUGAGCAAAGAUCCAGCAUAGUAUCAGAUAGCCGAUUGAUGUUUUCUGCCCUCUGCAUGCAUAUCCUUGGGGAAAUGCUGUAGACUCGCUCUUUUCCAAAGCAGGUUAAAUCCCAAAAGGCACAUGGAAAUAUACAAGAAUGAAACACCAUGUCAAGUCAUUUGGCAUGUCAGAUAUUAGAAUGUGAAAGGAGGGGGGGGUUGGAAAACUGGUGUUAAGAUGUGUUUGCCAGCAAGUGUAAUCUUUUUAUCCCAAUUCAAAUACAAUUCAAAACAGCAGGUAAACGGAAAUAUCACACAAGCAAGCAACCAUGCCUCAAGCAACACGCUCCAUUAAAGGAGUUUGCCACGCAAGGUGCUGCAGCUCUCACUACAAAAAAAAAUGAAGUGUUUACUCAGUGGGAUUUGAACAAGAAAUCUGAAAACACACUUUAAUGUUGAGAUCUCCCAACAACCUCUGAGCAGAUGUUUUCACUCAGAACAUGUAGAAGUCUCCCUUUAAUGUGUCUGUCAUGGAAUCAAGAGCAUCAUUUGUUCAUUUGUGGGUGGCAUCCCAUCAGAGCAUUAUUACAAACUGACAGCCAAACUAAACAGAAGAAUAAACAAAGGUGGCUCUUCGGCAUAAAGAAGACAUAACUCCUUCAUGAUCAAUGAAAAUGCCAGUCAAGAUCUCUACAACGAAGCUGAAGUAUGUCACUGCAAUCAAUGUACUGACCCGGGGGAGGUCACGGUGUGUAUGUGUGAGUCUUUGUGUGCCUUUUCUGUUUGUGUGUAUGCAAUGGACCUCUGGUAGAGACGGGUCACCUCACUCCCUCUGGGGACAGAACCUUGGGUAUAAAAAUACACUACUCACUGGGACCUCUGCAAGAAGAGAAGGACCAGUCCUUUUCUCAUAAGAACACACACACCACGUACACACACUCAAAACUCAGGCUAGAUUUGAUGGGGGGGAUGGAAAUAAGCGCCUCUGUGCCCAUGAAUGCUAUCAUUUCAUUCCUCUACUCUGAAUGCUCCAGGGAUCUCUGAGAAGGAGUAGGAGCAAUAAGUUCACUUUGCUGAAUUAAUGCCGUAAUUCUUUAUCAGGAGAGCCUUGGCAUUACCUUGAACCGGGCUGGUUUUAUGCAAAAUGGUUCCAAGCCUCGUUUUUUUUAAAUGAUGGUCCUAAUUUGUUGGCUCACUUUAAAUUAUUAAUCUCUUUUAUAUGCAAGUACUUAUUACGUGUCAUAAGUAUGUAUCUAUGGGGUGAGAUGUAAUAGCAUCUGCUGGACCUUAGGAAAAGAGCCACCGCUGAAAAGCUAUUAAAUAUUGAUAAUCAGCCAAAUAUUUGCCCUGGCACCUGCUUUGAGCCACUGUGCUGAUUGGCAUGGGAGCAGCUAUAGUGGUCACUAAAGACACACAAUGAGAUGUUAACACAGGCUCUCACUGGCAGAGGUGAACAAAUCAAUUAGACCAGAAAGAUGUGACUGUAACAUUUAGAAGACGGUUCAUGUGAACACUGUCUCAAUAUGACACCGGUUCAAAAACAUCAGGGCUUGACAGUGCAACUGUUUCACUCACAUUUGCAACUAAAAAUAGAUGCGUGCGAAUUGUAAAAUGUAUUCUGCGGCACAUGUGCGCAUAUAAAAAUCAGCCGAGGAAACAAAUGUUUCUUCAUGUAAAUACCGCGGUGAAGUUAGUUUUAGGUUGGAUAUCCGACAGACAUUAACAUGUGGAUCUACCGGUAUCUUCUCACCCUCCAUGUCAUUAUUUGAUCAAUUUUCAUUGUGCCCCUCAAGUUUUUUGUGUGCUUCUAACUUGCUCCUGGUCAAAAAAAGUUAUUGUCAAGCCCUGAAUAUAUACAAAUGAUUUAAAUUCUUUUUCCAGGUGUAUGUCAAGUGAAAACAGCUGAGCCUCCCUGCUUUUUGCCUACUAAAAUUGUGUUUAACUUGCAACCCAGAGUACUGAAAUCCUCCAGUCCCAAAAAAAAAAUCAUAAUUUGGUACAAAGUAAAAAGACUAAACAUAGAGUCACAGUGUCUGCAGGCACCAGUUUGCAGGAUGUGGUUUUAGCAGAGGUACCACCACCUGCCUUCGGUUCUCUUUGCAGGUUGUCCAAAUGCAUUCGCUAGUUGCUAGAGUUGAGUAUCUCUUGCGUGAGGCCGAAACAAUUUACCCUGACUACAAUAUGGUGCAUAAAAGAUAAAUGUGCCACUUACAAUGUGAUGCAAUGCAAUAUGAGUCGCAACCGCAUCAUGAUGCAGCGCAACUGCAAUGUGAUCUAACGAUGUAAAGGAAGUAUGAUAGGCAAUUCAACAAGUUAGAUUUUUCAUUAAUCAAAUAAAAUUGAGACUUUUCACAAACUGGCCUUUUUGUCACAAGUUCUCUGUGAGUGUUCUCUCUACUUUGUCACACCUGGCUAACAAAAUUCAGGAUGCUCAAGAUGACAAACAUCCAUUACUUGUGAUAUAAAAAUCCAUAUGCUUAGCACUUUUUCCACAGGAGUUAGGCUCAGUGUGAGUAAAAACAGAUAUCUGGAUAUCUCUACAAAUAAAGACAGACAUACCAUCAGUUAUGUUGUAAAUAAACAAAUCGGUUCAUCUUCCCAUCCCAAAUGGUUUAGCUUGUGGUUGAACACCCCUUUACAAAUAUAACCUUGUUUGCGAUCAAUGCUUAUUUACAUACAGAUAGUAGAUCAAUGUAACAACCGGAAGUUUGUUUAAAAAAAAAAAAUAAUGAUUUGCUUUGCCUAGACUAUCCCAGUAGUUCAUUGAGAACUUUGUGAAAGGAUCAUACUUUAGUAUGAGAGGCAGUUCAGGAUAAUAAAAAAACUGAGUAAACCAACUACUUGAAUGUUUUUCAGACGAACUUAUGAUUUGAUAUUUAGUAUUAAAUUCAUUUGUCAUGUUCGCACUGUUGUUUUAUGGUCAAAUAAAAAGUGACAGAAUUCCUCAACAAUAUUCCAUAAAGUGAAAAACUACUGUUAUGUUUAUAGUUGUGUCACAAACCAGGAACAUGCCAAAGGAAGCAAGUCAGCCCAUGUAAAUGUCACAAAAAGGGACCUCUACACAAGAGAAGAAUGCCAGAGUCAGCGCUACAUAUCCAUCUAUCCAUCCGUCAGUCCAUCAGACAUACCACUGAACCAUCUGCCAGCCUCCCC